rnacentral:rRNA from 1 species
GGAAUACUGUUGGUAAUUCUAGAGCUAAUACAUGCACCAAAGCUCUGACUUUUGGACGAGCGCAUCUAUUAGAUUAAAACCAAUCGGGCCUUGGCCCGUCAAUUGGUGACUCUGAAUAGCUCUGGCUGAUCGCAUGGUCUCGUACCGGCGACGUAUCUAUCAAGUGUCUGCCUUAUCAACUUUCGAUGGUAGUUUAUGUGCCUACCAUGGUUGUAACGGGUAACGGAGAAUAAGGGUUCGACUCCGGAGAGGGAGCCUGAGAAACGGCUACCACAUCCAAGGAAGGCAGCAGGCGCGCAAAUUACCCACUCUCGGAAUGAGGAGGUAGUGACGAAAAAUAACGAGACCGUUCUCUUUGAGGCCGGUUAUCGGAAUGGGUACAAUUUAAACCCGUUAACGAGAAUCUAUGAGAGGGCAAGUCUGGUGCCAGCAGCCGCGGUAAUUCCAGCUCUCAAAGUGUAUAUCGUUAUUGCUGCGGUUAAAAAGCUCGUAGUUGGAUCUGCGUCUUAGGACCUGGUCCGUCCAUUGGACGAGAACUGGGAACCUAGACUUCAUUGGCCAGUUUUCCCUAUGUUACCUUAAUUGGUUGCAUAGGGUGGCGGGCAAGUUUACCUUGAAAAAAUUAGAGUGCUCAAUGCGGGCUAAUGCCUGAAUAUUCGUGCAUGGAAUAAUGAAAUAGGAUCUCGGUUCUAUUUUGUUGGUUUUCUGAUCUGAGAUAAUGGUUAAGAGGGACGGACGGGGGCAUUCGUAUCGCUGCGUGAGAGGUGAAAUUCUUGGACCGUAGCGAGACGCCCGACUGCGAAAGCAUUUGCCAAGAAUUCUCAUAUCAGAC